UUAAGUGACGAUAGCCUAGGAGAUACACCUGUUCCCAUGCCGAACACAGCAGUUAAGCCCUAGAACGCCUGAAGUAGUUGGGGGUUGCCCCCCUGUUAGAUACGGUAGUCGCUUAGC
rnacentral:rRNA from 1 species